rnacentral:rRNA from 1 species
GAUGAACGCUGGCGGCGUGCCUAAUACAUGCGAGUCGAGCGAACGGACGAGAAGCUUGCUUUUCUGAUGUUAGCGGCGGACGGGUGAGUAACACGUGGAUAACCUACCUAUAAGACUGGGAUAACUUCGGGAAACCGGAGCUAAUACCGGAUAAUAUUUUGAACCGCAUGAUUCAAAAGUGAAAGACGGUCUUGCUGUCACUUAUAGAUGGAUCCGCGCUGCAUUAGCUAGUUGGUAAGGUAACGGCUUACCAAGGCAACGAUGCAUAGCCGACCUGAGAGGGUGAUCGGCCACACUGGAACUGAGACACGGUCCAGACUCCUACGGGAGGCAGCAGUAGGGAAUCUUCCGCAAUGGGCGAAAGCCUGACGGAGCAACGCCGCGUGAGUGAUGAAGGUCUUCGGAUCGUAAAACUCUGUUAUUAGGGAAGAACAUAUGUGUAAGUAACUGUGCACAUCUUGACGGUACCUAAUCAGAAAGCCACGGCUAACUACGUG